CGGAGGGUGCAAGCGUUAUCCGGAUUCACUGGGUUUAAAGGGAGCGUAGGAGGGCAGGUAAGUCAGUGGUGAAAUCUUCGAGCUUAACUCGGAAACUGCCGUUGAUACUAUCUGUCUUGAAUACCGUGGAGAUGAGCGGAAUAUGUCAUGUAGCGGUGAAAUGCUUAGAUAUGACAUAGAACACCAAUUGCGAAGGCAGCUCGUUACACGAAUAUUGACUCUGAGGCUCGAAAGCGUGGGGAUCAAACAGGAUUAGAUACCCUGGUAGUCCACGCCCUAAACGAUGGAUACUCGACAUACGCGAUACACUGUGUGUGUCUGAGCGAAAGCAUUAAGUAUCCCACCUGGGAAGUACGACCGCAAGGUUG
rnacentral:rRNA from 1 species